AGAACACCUGCGAACAAUGCAACAAGUUAAUCAGAAUUGCUCGAUCGUUUGAUUAAAUUCAGCUCAGAAACAGUUUGCCUGUCCAGGAAAGUUUCCAAGCAAUGAUCAGUCCAAUGUAAGUUAUUUUUGGGGGAAUGCUAUGUGAUAUGCAAUGCAUGGGUACAGAAGGUGGAGUGGCAAUACUGAUUUGCUUGUUCAAGCUGGAACUGGAAGCGAACAUCUGAUGCGAGUACUGCACAGUGAUGACUAGUUAGUGACGCAAUUGCUCAGGUAAACACUAUAGAAAUAAAACCACGACAAGAAUUAUGGAACGGAGGAAGUAAUAAUCUGUUACUAAAAAUUUGGCAUCUUAUGUGCUGUGUAUCUUGCAUGUUAUUUGCCUUGCUGGAUAUGGUGAAGAGGAGAAGAUAAGAAGCAGGUGGACGGUGCUGUUCUGGGGAUGCAACGCAGCAUGCGUGUGCGAUGCUGCUCCGAUCUUCCGGUAUCAGAAUUUGGAGCCUAUGACUUCUUAGUGCGGCCAUCGGAUAUGGGAAAAGGCAGAUUGACGUACCAUUCUGCGGUCAAUUAGAUUGAGGCUUUAACACGAUCACCCUCCCAUGGAUGUCAUGUCACCCUCAGAAUUGAUGAUACUGCACGCUGGAUUAAUUAGAUUGAUGCUGUCCUAGUACUGAGUGCUCCCUCCUAGAUAUUGUUGGGGAAGUAUAAUUCAACAAGUAGUAUAUAAGUAAAUACUUUUGGAUAACUAAUCUAGUGACACCAACCAUGUCACACACCAAUAAAUUGAUUGUCAAA